CAGAAGAAGUCCGAUAGCAAACAGGAACCAGCAGAACCAGAGAUAAAAUCUUUUUUUAUUCCACACAUUCUUCUAACUCACCUAAAUUACCCACAAUUCAGCUGGACCUCUGUUGUGACAACUUUUAACAAACAUUCAGGAGAACUCCCCAACACCUGGAAACACACAGAGUAAAUCUGAGUGUUGGACUGAAUCCUCUGUUGGAGGUGCUUCUGCUGCAGGAUGGAGACUGACCACAGGGAAACUACGCCACAUGCAGGCCUCAACUGUCCAUGGACGCAGUGAUGCUCCAGUACCUGGACUUCAGCUGUUCCUGUGGGGUCUUCUGAGCAGCCACUAGGGGGCGCUGUUCUACAGCACACUGUGUCACUACAGUGUUCACAGUAUUCAAAACUACCUAAAGAUACAAAUGAACUUGUGGCACAUUCCUGCAU